ACCGUGGCACGCGUGGAGGGGUAAGGCGCGCGACGGGGCUGGCUGGAGGAGCUGUGGUGGCGCGGCAGAAGAGCAGGAGCGCGGUGGAGCUUCCGCCGAGCAGCGCUGAGCACGAGAGAAAGAGAGGGAGAGGUGAGCGAGAGAGAGGGAGCAAAGAAGCAGAUGCUCACCGUGAGGGGUUGCUACGGGCUGAGGUGGUCUGUGGGUGUCCGGCGUCCUCUUCCGCGCAGGUGGUGAUAGCUUGUAGCAGCUCGCGAGGUGUGGUUGUCCAGUGGCAAGAACUCUCUGUUUUGAUUGAGA